GGCAAGGCGAUAUUUGGAUCCCGGCUGGACUUCAUCCUUGAAUCGGACGCCAGUUGUGUGGGCUGGGGGGCCACUUGUGGUGACAGGAGGACUCUGGACUCUGAAGGAGAGAGCUCUUCACAUCAGCUGUCUGGAACUGAUUGCAGGAUCAUUCGCCAUUUGCAGCUUCACCAAGGGGAAGCGUCACUCUUUACUACUUCUCCGCAUGGACAACGUCUCGGUUGUAAACCUGUUGCAAACUGCUGUCGGAUUUC